UGGCACUCCUGAUGUUUUGAACUACACCUCCCAUGAUGCUUUGCCAGAGCAUUAUGGGGGAUGUAGUCCAAAACAUCUGGAGUGCCG